ACCUACGGGGCGCAGCAGUGGGGAAUAUUGCGCAAUGGGGGAAACCCUGACGCAGCGACGCCGCGUGGGUGAUGAAGGCCUUCGGGUCGUAAAGCCCUGUCGGAGGGGAAGAAGGACUCACGUGCAAAUAGUUCGUGGGUCUGACGGUACCCUUAGAGGAAGCACCGGCUAACUCCGUGCCAGCAGCCGCGGUAAUACGGAGGGUGCAAGCGUUGCUCGGAAUUACUGGGCGUAGAGGGCGUGUAGGCGGUUUCGUAUGUCUGGCGUGAAAGCCCCGGGCUCACCACGGGAAGUGCGUCGGAAACUGCGAGACUAGAGUCCCGGAGAGGGAGGUGGAAUUCCAGGUGUAGCGGUGAAAUGCGUAGAUAUCUGGAAGAACACCGGUGGCGAAAGCGGCCUCCUGGACGGUGACUGACGCCGAGACGCGAAAGCGUGGGGAGCAAACAGGAUUAGAUACCCUAGUAC
rnacentral:rRNA from 1 species